rnacentral:rRNA from 1 species
GAUGAACGCUGGCGGCGCGCCUAAUACAUGCAAGUCGAGCGAACAGACGAGGAGCUUGCUCCUUUGACGUUAGCGGCGGACGGGUGAGUAACACGUGGGUAACCUACCUAUAAGACUGGGAUAACUUCGGGAAACCGGAGCUAAUACCGGAUAAUAUUUCGAACCGCAUGGUUCGAUAGUGAAAGAUGGCUUUGCUAUCACUUAUAGAUGGACCUGCGCCGUAUUAGCUAGUUGGUAAGGUAACGGCUUACCAAGGCAACGAUACGUAGCCGACCUGAGAGGGUGAUCGGCCACACUGGAACUGAGACACGGUCCAGACUCCUACGGGAGGCAGCAGUAGGGAAUCUUCCGCAAUGGGCGAAAGCCUGACGGAGCAACGCCGCGUGAGUGAUGAAGGUCUUCGGAUCGUAAAACUCUGUUAUUAGGGAAGAACAAACGUGUAAGUAACUGUGCACGUCUUGACGGUACCUAAUCAGAAAGCCACGGCUAACUACGUG